ACAAGCGUAAGGUAUGGUUGGCCUUGUUUAUGCUUCUAUGCUGUAUAAGAUAUGGCUUGCCCAGGUCGUUCGAUUCUUUCUCUUUUGUGUGUAAGUAAAGCUGCAAUGCCACCGGAGGUUCUGGGAUCGAAACAUUUCGGUUGAUAUACAUGUAUAUACUAGAUUCUAGAGGUGCACGAUAAGGUUCUUAUGAUGAAAAACCCUAAAUCAGUGAGUUGAUCUGCCAGCAGUAUGCUCCCAAUGC
rnacentral:lncRNA from 1 species